rnacentral:rRNA from 1 species
GAUGAACGCUGGCGGCGUGCCUAAUACAUGCAAGUCGAGCGGUAAGGUCACUUCGGUGGUACACGAGCGGCGGACGGCUGAGUAACACGUAGGAACGUACCCAAACUGAGGGAUAAGCACCAGAAAUGGUGUCUAAUACCGCAUGUGCUCUUCGGAGUAAAGCUACGGCGGUUUGGGAACGGCCUGCGCAUGAUUAGCUUGUUGGUGAGGUAAUGGCUCACCAAGGCGACGAUCAUUAGCUGGUCUGAGAGGAUGAUCAGCCAGACUGGGACUGAGAACGGCCCAGACUCCUACGGGAGGCAGCAGUAGGGAAUUUUCCACAAUGGACGAAAGUCUGAUGGAGCAACGCCGCGUGCAGGAUGAAGGCUUUCGGGUCGUAAACUGCUUUUAUCUGUGAAGAUUAUGACGGUAGCAGAUGAAUAAGGAUCGGCUAACUCCGUG